GCGCGGGCGGGGUCGGGGGCCGGGUCGGGCGCCCGAGGUCCUGGGCCGGGGUUCCGCGGGUUCUUCGCCCCCGGGCCUUUCAGUGGCGCGGGCCGAGUGGCCAUGGCGCUCGGGUGCGCGCAGUGCACGCGUACUGAGAGGUGGGGCCUCUAAGCGUGGUUGGGAUUAACCUGUCGAUGGAUUCAUGGAUUAAAGGGUUAUCACCGGAGUGGGACUGGUGACUUCAUUAGAAGAGGAAGGAAGACCUGAGCUGGCCUGUGAAUAUGCUCCGCCCCCUGGCCAUGUGACACCUGCGCCACCCUCAGGACUCUGCAGAGUCCCCAGCAGCAAGAAGGCCCUCACCAGGUGCAGCCCCUCAACCUUGGACUUCUCAGCCCCCAGGGCUGUAACAAAUAAAUUCUUUUUUAAAGUAAAUUACCCAGUUUCAG
rnacentral:lncRNA from 1 species